rnacentral:rRNA from 1 species
CCAAUAGCGUAUAUUAAAGUUGUUGCAGUUAAAAAGCUCGUAGUUGAAUUUCGGGAUUGGCGCAUCGGUCGUGCCUUACGGGGUAUGAACUGGUGCAGUCAAUUUCUCACCUUCUGGAGAACCGCGAUGUCCUUAAUUGGGUGCCGCGGGGAACCAGGACCUUUACUUUGAAAAAAUUAGAGUGUUUAAAGCAGGCAUUUUUGCUUGAAUACAUUAGCAUGGAAUAAUAAAAUAGGACGGCAUGGUUCUAUUUUGUUGGUUUCUAGGACCACCGUAAUGAUUAAUAGGGAUAGUUGGGGGCAUUAGUAUUCAAUUGUCAGAGGUGAAAUCCUUGGAUUUAUUGAAGACUAACUACUGCGAAAGCAUUUGCCAAGGAUGUUUUCAUUAAUCAAGAACGAAAGUUAGGGGAUCGAAGACGAUCAGAUACCGUCGUAGUCUUAACCAUAAACUAUGCCGACUAGGAAUCAGACGAUGUUAAUUUUUUAAUGACUCGUUUGGCACCUUACG